rnacentral:rRNA from 1 species
UUGAAAGCUUUUAACAAUGUUCUUAAUGACUCUGGGCUGGAUGAUCUAGGAUAUACAAGUGAUAUAUUCACCUGGCGCAGAGGACGAUUGCGUGAACACCUUGAUAGGGCAGCGGCGAAUAGUGCAUGGGCGGAUAUGUUCCCUGGUUAUGGGGUCUCCAAUGAGCAGUUCAACAAAUCUGAGCACCGUCCUGUUCUCAUUGAUACUGACUUUCAGCAAGGCCUACAGGCAAGGGGACCAACUGGACCAAGGAAUUUGAAGCCCGAUGGCUAG